rnacentral:rRNA from 1 species
AUUGAACGCUGGCGGCAUGCUUUACACAUGCAAGUCGAACGGCAGCGGGGUAGUGCUUGCACUACUGUCCGGCGAGUGGCGAACGGGUGAGUAAUAUAUCGGAACGUACCGAGUAAUGGGGGAUAACCAAUCGAAAGAUUGGCUAAUACCGCAUACGUCCUAAGGGAGAAAGCGGGGGAUCGCAAGACCUCGCGUUAUUCGAGCGGCCGAUAACUGAUUAGCUAGUUGGUGGGGUAAAGGCCUACCAAGGCGACGAUCAGUAGCGGGUCUGAGAGGACGAUCCGCCACACUGGGACUGAGACACGGCCCAGACUCCUACGGGAGGCAGCAGUGGGGAAUUUUGGACAAUGGGGGCAACCCUGAUCCAGCCAUGCCGCGUGUAUGAAGAAGGCCUUCGGGUUGUAAAGUACUUUUGUUAGGGAAGAAAAGGGAAGUGCUAAUACCACUUUUUGCUGACGGUACCUAAAGAAUAAGCACCGGCUAACUACGUGCCAGCAGCCGCGGUAAUACGUAGGGUGCGAGCGUUAAUCGGAAUUACUGGGCGUAAAGCGAGCGCAGACGGUUAUUUAAGCAGGAUGUGAAAUCCCCGGGCUUAACCUGGGAGCUGCGUUCUGAACUGGAUAGCUAGAGUGUGUCAGAGGGGGGUAGAAUUCCACGUGUAGCAGUGAAAUGCGUAGAGAUGUGGAGGAAUACCGAUGGCGAAGGCAGCCCCCUGGGAUAACACUGACGUUCAUGCUCGAAAGCGUGGGUAGCAAACAGG